rfam:Ricinus communis cultivar Hale ctg_1100012362455, whole genome shotgun sequence.
AAACCAUGAUGUGUACAGCUCCUCAGCAAAUCCUUGAAGCGUUCCCAAUAAUAAUAAAAAGUUUCAUUCUUCUGCUGAAGAAAUCUAGCUAUAUCAUUCCUCAACUU